ensembl:lincRNA
CAAACCUGUGACGACUGUGUGCGCGUCGCUGUGCCGAGACUCGGCUCGGAAAAUUGGGCAGCGCCUGAUCCCGACAACCAGGGCACCUGCCAUGGCCCUGCCACGGCUCUGGGAUGCGUGCUCUGCCAGUUUUUGCCUGAAUGGGAGCCUGCAGACCCACGACGUGGGGUGUGUCGGAGGAGUGCAGAGAUACACACAUCAUUCUCAACCUUCGCUGAGGUCUUCUACGUUUUAUCUUUUUUCACCCUGAACAAAAGUGAGUUUGUUAGAAGAUACAGAGAAGAUCUGUUAAGGGUGAAACAGAGCAAAACAACAACAAGAACCAACCCUAAACCAAGACCUCAUAACAUUGGUACAAAAACCAGAUGAGAGAAACGUACUGCGCAUGGACACAAUGCCGUGGCAGCGAGUGUCCCGGUGCCAUUUGGACAAUUUCACAUCCGUGUCAUAUCAUCUCCAAAACGGGAAGAAUUGCCCUCUGUAUGAGAGAGGCCAUGUCUCCAGUGAAGGAAGCCGGCUGGCAGGCACUGCACUCUGGGGAAGGACAGACAGGGCUUCCAUUGGAGUGAUAUCAGCCUCUCUCUUCUGGUGGGAGACCCACCGGGUCCUGACACUGGUCCUAUCUUCGAGGGGGAUACUGGUGGUGUCCCCAAGUACUGUGCACCCUGGUAAGGCCAAGCCCGUGGCUUCGACAUCUGCCUCCUGGAGUCCAGGCCACUUGAGGAAGGCACUGUCUUGGACAUUCAUCACCUGCUGCGGGCAACCCAGGAGAAACCUGGGAGAGUGUCCCCAGCUGGGCCCGGCAGCCCACAGAGCUGAGAAGAGGAGGCGUUGUUCAUGGUCUCCGUCCACGCUGGGCCUGGCAGCUCACAGAGCAGAGCUGAGAAGAGGAGACAUUGUUCAUGGUCUCUGGCCACUGAGCUGGUGGGACAGAGGCAGAGCAGGUGAUUUGCUACCAUUCCAUGAUACUCAGAGCUCAUGAAUAGCCUGUCACACUUACUCCAAGCACGAAUUCUGGUGGUUGUUCUGCAGUUUUCACUUUGUGGAUGACAGAGCCAAGGUUUGGGGCUGGAGCUCACGGUAACCCGAGAUGCAGAGCGGGAUUUUCCUGCCGUGCCGUGCAUGCUCUCUCCACAGGCCGAGAGUGUGCUGUGAAACCAUGAGGCUGAAACCACCUUCACACUGGGAGCGAACAAAAGGACCCGCGGGUGAGGAAUCUGAUCAGUCUCCCAGUGAGAUGUCAAAGGUCCGCUCUUCAGGGUGAGUCAGCCGUGAGCAGUAGCGGCUGAUGGGCAGAGUCCACGAGUGAGCCUGGGUACUUGUCAGUCCCUCCAAGGCACAGGAAAUACCCUGUUUUUCAAGUGUGCACGCACAUUAAGUUAACACGACAAGUUACGUAUUCCCACGUUGUUUUCCGGUGGCCUGUCUAGGGCUGGGCUUCACGUGUUCCCUGUGCUUUCCGCAUGUUGAAGGAGGCCUGUGUUUCUCUCCCUGGCUAUCAGCCUCGGAUCUGAUGGUGGUGUGGGAGGGGCUGGCUGCCUGUGACAACUCCACAGUGUCCCCAGCUCCAUCUGCGAUGUGACAGGAGCUUAGCAGAGCUGCCGCGGGGCCAGAGGGCGCUGGGUUCCAGCCUGCCCAGCGUGUCUAGCGAUUAUUGACAGUUUUGUGUCCUGUUUUCCCACGGAUCCAGGACAGCAGAAGACAAAACCAGGUUCUCUUCCAGAAGGGCAGAUUCAGCCAAGGACUAUCCCCAUCUUGAGCAGGGCAGGGGCCAACUCCUCCACUCCCGUUCUGACUCAGCCAGGCACCUGGGACUCCUGGGACCACAGACCACACUGGGCAAGACACAAAAAUCCCAGCACAUGGGAAGCCUUCUGAGGGCAGCAGUCGGAGCUAAAACAUGUUUUAUGCUGAGGUCGAGUAGAGUGAUCUGGAAAUUGAAAUGAAGACAGUUUGAGAGUCUGAGUGACUGACAAUAAAAUACAGAUCGCAAUUGAAUAAAAAAAUCACAAAUUAAAAAGUGCAUUUUAUUCUAGGGUCACAAAAGUAUGUUUUUCAGAAAUAAUCAAUUUUUUCAUGGAAUUAUGGGGUUUUGAGACAAGAUUGUAUCACUGAGGUCCGAACAACUCAAUUAUCAGUGCCCUGGUGCACCCAGAAAUUGUAUUUUAAUUUUGCAAAUUACCUGAGAGCCACUAAGCUGGGUGGGCUCAUGGCGCCCUCUGUUGGUCGCAUGCAGAGCUGCCCCGUGUGGUUUUUUUGACUCCUUUCUUUGGGUUGAUGUCCCUGUGCCAAAAUCCUCUUUUCCUCGUCUCCACAGUUCACCGUGGAGUCAUUUUCUGCCAGUCAAUGGCAUUCUCCUAGUUGUCUACAUUCCACCUCCUGUCAUGCAGAAUAUCUGAGCCAAGAGAAAGGAAAAUAGCUCUGAAAAGAAAUAGUUACACCUGUAGAGUGAAGGUGGUUAAAAGCCUCUGAACCCUCAGCAUGCCUGCGCCCGCUUGCGAUGUUGGUCGCUUAGAUGCCGUAUGAGCAGACCUGCUUCCUUUCCUGGCCUGCAAAAUAAAUAUGCACUUUUCUAUUUCUAUAUUUUCUCAUUGUUGUAACAUCAGCUUCCACUUUAAAUAAUCUCAUCGUCUGUUAAAUAGGUAUCUGUAAAUUAACCUAGUACUAUGCUGUGGGCUGAAUGUCUGUGUCCCUCAAAAUUCCUAUAUUGAAAUCUUCACCCUCAAGGGGAUGGUAUUAGGAAGUGGGGCCUUUGGGAGGGGAUUCAUUCAUGAGGCCAGAACCCUCAUGAAUGAGAUUACUGCCCCUUAUGAAAGAGAACCCAGAGAGCUCCCUCAUCCCUUCCACCCAUAUGAGGUUACAGCAAAAGGACAGAAAAAAAAAGUCUAGGAAGCAACCCUCCCCAGAUGUCAAAUCUGCUGACCCCUUGGUCUUGGGCUUCCAGCCUCCAGAACUGUGAGAAAUAAAUCUCUGCUGUUUAAGCUGCCUAGUCCACGGUAUUUUAUUACAGCAGCCAACAUGGAUGAAGACAGACUGUGCCCACAGCUUCCCAUCAGCCCAUGGGAACGUGUUUGAGGAGCCGCCUCUGACUUCCUUUGGCCUGUGGACUGGUGCACUACUCCUGCACUGCACUGCCUUCCAAAGAGAGUCGCCAACUUCGUGCUCACUUCACCCUUUGGCAGCCCAGGAAUGGUUCCCACCCCAGUCAAAGUCUGCCUGGAAGACUCAGGUAUGCUGUAUUGCGGUCUGCAUUACCCACAGUCAAGCAGCUGGCCUCUCCAAUUAGAGUAGCUCUUCAGAGGCACAGCCAGCUGGCUCCAACCAGAGGUGGUAGGAUAAGCCUGCCCACGGCUGUGGAAACCAUCCAUCUGUUGGGCUGUUUCUCACCAGCAAAGCC